AUUGAACGCUGGCGGCAGGCCUAACACAUGCAAGUCGAACGAGUGGCGGACGGGUGAGUAAUGUCUGGGAAACUGCCCGAUGGAGGGGGAUAACUACUGGAAACGGUAGCUAAUACCGCAUACAAUCGGAUGGGCCCCGAGGGGAGUGGCUAGUAGGUUGGGUAACGGCUCACCUAGGCGACGAACCCUAGCUGGUCUGAGGGGAUGACCAGCCACACGGGAACAGAGGCACGGGCCGGACGCCUACGUGAGGAAGCAGUGGGGAAUAUUGCACAAUGGGCGCAAGCGUGAUGCAGCCAUGCCGCGUGUAUGAAGAAGGCCUUCGGGUUGUAAAGUACUUUCAGCGGGGAGGCGUUACCCGCAGAAGAAGCACCGGCUAACUCCGUGCCAGCAGCCGCGGUAAUUC
rnacentral:rRNA from 1 species